rnacentral:rRNA from 1 species
AACGAACGCUGGCGGCAGGCCUAACACAUGCAAGUCGAGCGAGGACUUCGGUCCUAGCGGCGGACGGGUGAGUAACGCGUGGGAACGUGCCCUUUGGUACGGAAUAGCCCCGGGAAACUGGGAGUAAUACCGUAUGGUGUCUUCGGACUAAAGAUUUAUCGCCAAAGGAUCGGCCCGCGUUGGAUUAGGUAGUUGGUGGGGUAAUGGCCUACCAAGCCGACGAUCCAUAGCUGGUUUGAGAGGAUGAUCAGCCACACUGGGACUGAGACACGGCCCAGACUCCUACGGGAGGCAGCAGUGGGGAAUCUUAGACAAUGGGGGCAACCCUGAUCUAGCCAUGCCGCGUGAGUGAUGAAGGCCCUAGGGUUGUAAAGCUCUUUCAGCUGGGAAGAUAAUGACGGUACCAGCAGAAGAAGCCCGGCUAACUCCGUG